rnacentral:lncRNA from 1 species
GUCACAAUGUGAUCUUUGCAUUGUCAACUACACAUCAAUCACAACGCAGCCAUGCAGAAUCAGGAAGCACAACAUGGCUACACCCAUCUUGAGUGUGAUCUGCAAAAUGUGGAAGGUAUAUUCCCUGUCUUCAAGAGGUUGAAGGCAUAGCACUGUCAGAUUUCACAAGCAGUAGCUUCUCUUUUCACAGCAACCAGCUCUCCCC